GACGAACGCUGGCGGCGUGCCUAAUACAUGCAAGUAGAACGCAGUUGCGAACGCGUGAGUAACGCGUAGGUAACUGCCUGCUAGCGGGGGAUAACUAUUGUUAACGAUAGCUAAUACCGCACACUACCAGAUGGACCUGCGUUGUAUUAGGUAGCUGGUGGGGUAACGGCUCACCAAGGCAACGAGACAUACCCGGCCUGGGACGGGGAGCAGCCAUACCGGGACUGAGACACGGCCCAGUAUCCUUCGGGAGGGAGCACGAUGGAAACUUCGGCAAUGGGGGGAAACCUGGCAGGACAACGCCGCGGGAAUGCAGAAAGUUUUCGGGUCGUAAAGCUCUGUUGUUGAGGAAGCGGUACUUAACCAGAAAGGGACGGCUAACUACGUGCCAGCCGCCGCGGUAAUAC
rnacentral:rRNA from 1 species